rnacentral:rRNA from 1 species
UACGUAGGGUGCGAGCGUUAAUCGGAAUUACUGGGCGUAAAGCGUGCGCAGGCGGUUUUGUAAGCCAGAUGUGAAAGCCCCGGGCUUAACCUGGGAAUGGCAUUUGGGACUGCAAGGCUUGAGUGCGGCAGAGGGGGAUGGAAUUCCGCGUGUAGCAGUGAAAUGCGUAGAUAUCAGGAGGAACACCAAUGGCGAAGGCAGCUCACUGGGACGGUACUGACGCUGAGACGCGAAAGCGUGGGGAGCAAACAGG